UGGGAGACCUAUGUGAUCAGGGGAA
rnacentral:piRNA from 1 species